GCCGAGGUGGCGGAACUGGUAGACGCGUACGCUUCAGGUGCGUAUGAGAGCAAUCUUGUGAGGGUUCAAGUCCCUCCCUCGGCACAA
rnacentral:tRNA from 1 species